rnacentral:rRNA from 1 species
UGCAGUCGAGGGAGAAGUUUUGUGCUUGCACUAAACGGAAACCGGCGAACGGGUGCGUAACACGUAUGCAACCUACCUAUAUCUAAGGGAUAGCCCGGAGAAAUUCGGAUUAAUACCUUAUAACAUCAUUCAUUCGCAUGUUUGAAUGAUUAAAGCUCCGGCGGAUAUAGAUGGGCAUGCGGCCCAUUAGUUAGUUGGUGAGGUAAUGGCUCACCAAGACCACGAUGGGUAGGGGGUCUGAGAGGAUGAUCCCCCACACUGGUACUGAGACACGGACCAGACUCCUACGGGAGGCAGCAGUAGGGAAUAUUGGUCAAUGGGCGAAAGUCUGAACCAGCCAUGCCGCGUGCAGGAUGACUGCCCUAUGGGUUGUAAACUGCUUUUAUAUAGGAAGAAACCUUCCCACGUGUGGGAAGCUGACGGUACUAUACGAAUAAGGACCGGCUAACUCCGUGCCAGCAGCCGCGGUAAUACGGAGGGUCCAAGCGUUGUCCGGAUUUAUUGGGUUUAAAGGGUACGCAGGCGGGAUAUUAAGUCAGUGGUGAAAGCCUACAGCUCAACUGUAGAACUGCCAUUGAAACUGAUAUUCUUGAGUAUGGAUGAGGUGGUUGGAAUAUAUCAUGUAGCGGUGAAAUGCUUAGAUAUGAUAUAGAACACCGAUUGCGAAGGCAGAUCACUAAACCAUUACUGACGCUCAUGUACGAAAGCGUGGGGAGCGAACAGGAUUAGAUACCCUGGUAGUCCACGCCGUAAACUAUGUUCACUCGCUGUUGGCGAUAUACUGUCAGCGGCCAAGCGAAAGCAUUAAGUGAANCACCUGGGGAGUACGACCGCANGGU